rnacentral:rRNA from 1 species
AGAGUUUGAUCCUGGCUCAGGAUGAACGCUAGCGACAGGCUUAACACAUGCAAGUCGAGGGGCAGCGGGGGCGUAGCAAUAUGCCUGCCGGCGACCGGCGCACGGGUGAGUAACACGUAUGUAACCUGCCCUAUGCAGGGGGAUAACCCGGAGAAAUCCGGCCUAAUACCGCGUAACACCUUAGGGGAGCAUUCUCUUGAGGUUAAAGGAGAGAUCCGGCAUAGGAUGGACAUGCGUCGCAUUAGGUAGACGGCGGGGUAACGGCCCACCGUGCCGACGAUGCGUAGGGGUUCUGAGAGGAAGGCCCCCCACACUGGUACUGAGACACGGACCAGACUCCUACGGGAGGCAGCAGUGAGGAAUAUUGGUCAAUGGCCGGGAGGCUGAACCAGCCAAGUCGCGUGAGGGAAGAAUGUCCUAAGGAUUGUAAACCUCUUUUGUCGGGGAGCAAAAAGGCUCUGCGGAGUCGUAUUGAGAGUACCCGAAGAAAAAGCAUCGGCUAACUCCGUGCCAGCAGCCGCGGUAAUACGGAGGAUGCGAGCGUUAUCCGGAUUUAUUGGGUUUAAAGGGUGCGCAGGCGGCGUGUCAAGCAAGCGGUAAAAUAGCGGGGCUCAACCCCGUCGAGCCGUUUGAACUGGCGCGCUUGAGUUCAGGCGAGGUAGGCGGAAUUCGUGGUGUAGCGGUGAAAUGCAUAGAUAUCACGAAGAACUCCGAUUGCGAAGGCAGCUUACCAGUCUGCGACUGACGCUCAGGCACGAAAGUGUGGGUAUCGAACAGGAUUAGAUACCCUGGUAGUCCAUACAGUAAACGAUGAGCGCUAGGUGUCCGGGUCGCAUGAGACUUGGGUGCCCGAGCGAAAGCGUUAAGCGCUCCACCUGGGGAGUACGCCGGCAACGGUGAAACUCAAAGGAAUUGACGGGGGCCCGCACAAGCGGAGGAACAUGUGGUUUAAUUCGAUGAUACGCGAGGAACCUUACCCGGGCUCAAACGACUCAGGAAUAUAUUGGAAACGAUGUAGCCAGCAAUGGUCUGAGUCGAGGUGCUGCAUGGUUGUCGUCAGCUCGUGCCGUGAGGUGUCGGCUUAAGUGCCAUAACGAGCGCAACCCCUACCGCCAGUUGCCAACGGGUAAAGCCGGGAACUCUGGCGGGACUGCCGGCGCAAGCUGCGAGGAAGGCGGGGAUGACGUCAAAUCAGCACGGCCCUUACGUCCGGGGCGACACACGUGUUACAAUGGCAGGUACAGCGGGAAGCCACCUGGUGACAGGGAGCGGAACCCGAAAGCCUGUCUCAGUUCGGAUUGGAGUCUGCAACUCGACUCCAUGAAGCUGGAUUCGCUAGUAAUCGCGCAUCAGCCAUGGCGCGGUGAAUACGUUCCCGGGCCUUGUACAAAGCGCCCGUCA